rnacentral:sRNA from 1 species
CGGGCUGAAGGGGUCACGAGCUGGGGGUUCCCAGGGAGAUUCGGGGAGAGCGAAGGGUCCCGGCUUAGGAGGGAGGUGAGGAGCAGGAGCGGGUCCCGGACACACGGAGCCCGAAGCCCCCCAUGGUGCAGCCCUGUCCGCCCCGCGCACCCCGGACGCCCAGUUCCGCAGCCGCUGGAUGAGACGGGUGGCGGACGCCAUCUUCCGUCCGCGAUACUGAAGGGCGCAGCCGGUGACGUCUCCACCGCUGGGGCUGCUGGGAAAGACGCGGCGUGGUAUCGCGAGACGGGAGUGGGCGGUGCUAGAACGUCCUAUAAAGGCUCUCCCCGAAGCACGUGACUCCUCUCCGCCAGACCGCCGCCGCGCCGCCAUCAUGGACACCAGCCGUGUGCAGCCUAUCAAGCUGGCCAGGGUCACCAAGGUCCUGGGCAGGACCGGUUCUCAGGGACAGUGCACGCAGGUAAUCGGGUGGGGGCAUUUGGCCGACUGCCGGGGACCUAAACCCUGAUGUGACCUCUACCCUGCCCUAACCCCUGCCAGCCGGAAUCCGGGAGCCGAUUCUCAUUUCAUCACAGGGUUCUGAUGGUUCCCUUUAACGAUCUGUGUUCUGGCCCCGACACGUUCUCUGAAUUCAUAUCUGCUUCCCACUCCGCGGUGCCUUUCCGCGGCCCGCCCUAACUUCUUCCUCCACUCUCCGGUGGGGACCCGUAGGUGCGCGUGGAAUUCAUGGACGACACGAGCCGAUCCAUCAUCCGCAAUGUAAAAGGCCCCGUGCGCGAGGGCGACGUGCUCACCCUUUUGGAGUCAGAGCGAGAAGCCCGGAGGUUACGCUGAGCUUGGCUGCUCGCUGGGUCUUGGAUGUCGGGUUCGACCACUUGGCCGAUGGGAAUGGUCUGUCACAAUCUGCUCCUUUUUUUUUGUCCGCCACACGGAAUUGAGAUGCUCCUUUAAAUAAAGCGUUUGUGUUUCAAGUUAACUCAGGUUCUUGUCUGGGUUAUGCGACUAGGGUUUCUCCAGGUUUCUUGAGUGGCUCCCAGGCGGUCACCGAUCCUCCGCACUCUGGAAAUCCUGGCCGUGCGGUCUUGCCAAACGAAGCUUUUCCUUUUUGAGGCGGGGGGUCGUGUUUGUAUAUUGCACCCUCUACCCCAAACAAAACACAAGCGUAGUAGGAAUGUUUUAUUAGCAAAGAAGUUUCAGAGAGUGGGUGGAUCAGGGCUCUAUCACUUGGUCCCCACCUCACCUUGGUGGGGCCAGGGUGAGCCCCUUCCUGCCACAGUCACCCCAACUGAAAUUGCCUUUCUCUUCGGCCAGUGUUAGCCUCUGAGCAGAGGACCCUGGACCCUUCUGUGCGCCAAAGGCUGAGGUGACUGACGAGGAGAUCUCCCCACAGCUAGGUGUAGUGAGCCAGACGAGGCAGCUUACUGAACCUGGGGGUUCUCUCCAUUGUCACUGCAUUCUCCUUCACCAGGUGUGGCUGUCUGGGAGCCAGGGGGUGACUCGCUCUGGAGAGAGGGGAAAAGAGGGGG